rnacentral:rRNA from 1 species
CAGCCGCCACGGUAAUACGAAGGGUGCAAGCGUUACUCGGAAUUACUGGGCGUAAAGCGUGCGUAGGUGGUGGUUUAAGUCCGUUGUGAAAGCCCUGGGCUCAACCUGGGAAUUGCAGUGGAUACUGGGUCACUAGAGUGUGGUAGAGGAUAGUGGAAUUUCCGGUGUAGCAGUGAAAUGCGUAGAGAUCGGAAGGAACAUCUGUGGCGAAGGCGACUAUCUGGGCCAACACUGACACUGAGGCACGAAAGCGUGGGGAGCAAACAGGAUUAGAUACCCCUGUAGUCCCUGUCUCUUAUAU